rnacentral:rRNA from 1 species
CCUACGGGUGGCAGCAGUGAGGAAUAUUGGUCAAUGGGCGGGAGCCUGAACCAGCCAAUUCGCGUGAAGGAAGAAGGUACUUAGUAUUGUAAACUUCUUUUGUCGGGGAACAAAGUCGGAGACGCGUCUCCGGAUGCGUGUACCCGAAGAAAAAGCAUCGGCUAAGUCCGUGCCAGCAGCCGCGGUAAUACGGAGGAUGCGAGCGUUAUCCGGAUUUAUUGGGUUUAAAGGGUGCGCAGGCGGGAGAUCAAGUCAGCGGUAAAAGGGCGGGGCUCAACCCCGGCCGGCCGUUGAAACUGGUUGUCUAGAGUGGGAGAGAAGUAUGCGGAAUGCGUGGUGUAGCGGUGAAAUGCAUAGAUAUCACGAAGAACUCCGAUUGCGAAGGCAGCAUACCGGCUCCAUACUGACGCUGAGGCACGAAAGCGUGGGGAUCGAACAGGAUUAGAUACCCCAGUAGUC